GGCUUGCUCAUUGCUCUAGUGGUCCUACGAAGAGGACGAGUUUUACUGUUUGUGACGUUGAUCCUUUGACGUUGAAGCCGAUGGCGCACUCGUGUACUGCUCCAUGGCCACAUAACAGAACAGAACGCUUUCUUGCGGCUUGCCUCGCAUCUCCUCCACAAUCCCUUCAUCCUCGACACCCAGGUUAUGACCAGAUCGCUUGGACAUCUGCGGAGCAAAUUGAGUUUGUACUUUGUAGACCACACACAGGGGUACCGGCUAGUUCUCCAGUAGGUCACAUACAAGGCUACCGGCUAAAUCUCCUGUGGGAAAAGCACCGUGCACUUAGAAUGGGGGACCGAAUUGUCCUGGAGCGCAUACUUUCCGGAUUUGAGAAACCGACGAACCUCGCAUUAGCACUUUUACAGGAGAUCACUGAAAAUUUCUCUGAAAUGAGAAAAAUUGGGGAGGGUGGAUUUGGGGAGGUUUACAAGGGUGUGCUCCACAAUAGGAUUAUUGCCGUGAAGAGGAUAAUUGUGAGCGAACACACAAUCGACGACAGGCUAUUUGAUCGUGAAGUUAAAAAUUUGAUGAAGAUUAUUAGCCAUCGAAAUGUAGUUCGUUUUCUCGGCUUUUGUUCAAAUACACAUCGUGAGGCGAUAAAAGAGGAAGGAUCAACAGAAUUGGUUUUGGCCCAGAUGAGAGAAAGAUUACUUUGUUUCGAGUAUAUCAGCAACAGAAGCCUCGAUAAACAUAUUACCGAUGAAUUACGAGGACUUGAAUGGAGUAUACGAUACGAAAUAAUCAAAGGAAUUUGUCAUGGUUUGCAUUACCUUCACGAGGAAAAAAAUAUUAUUCAUAUGGACCUCAAACCUGGCAAUAUAAUGAUAGAUGAAGAUAUGGUGCCAAAGAUAACAGAUUUUGGUUUAUCAAGACUUGAUAAACAUACACACACCAGUGGUACCCGUUAUAUAACACAAGGAUACUGUGCUCCAGAAUACGUGAAUGGUGGCAAGACAUCAAAAAAGGCUGACAUGUAUAGUUUGGGUGUUAUACUCACGGAACUGAUAACCGGACUUAAGGGCGAUCCAGAAAAUGUUAAUGUGCUGCGAAGGUGGAUGCACAGGUGGAAUAAAUCACCAAAACAUACAGUACUGUCCCAGUACCAGCAAGUAACUAAAUGCAUGAAAAUUGCAUCAUGCUGCAGGAAAAAGGAACCAUCAGAUAGACCUUUUAUAUUGGAUAUAAUUGGCAUUCUCAAUGAAUCUGAAGAAAUCACGAAUGAGCACAUUGACAAGAUAAGCCUUUACUCGGAUGACAUGCUUGGAAUUAAGCCGCUCGAACUACGGUUUCUCUUUGAGCGUCAGAAACAGAUAUCAUCCGUAGUUAAGCUAAUCAACAAGACAAAGGAUUACUACGCCUUCAACAUCGAAACACCAAGCCAACAGUACUGUGCACAACCAAACAAAGGCAUUGUGUGUCCACAAUCCAAGUGUACUAUCCAGAUAACAAUGCAAAUGCAUGAGACUACACCACAAGAUAUGCCGUACACCGACGAUUUUAUCGUGCAAAGCACAAAAGUCGACGGGGACCUUAGAGCAGGGGAUAUCACUGAUGUCUUGUUCAACAAAGAGCCGGGUAAAGUGGAUGAGGUAAUUUUGACAGUUGUGGUAUAUCUGCCUGAGAAAUCUAAGGGAGAUCUCAAGAGUCGAGAAGACACCAAGAAAAAACGGAAUAUGGUUGAAUAUGCUUUUAGCAAGGACAAACCUGGCGUCGGCGCAACUAUGCAAUCAGAGGACAUUAAUUCUAUUGGUUACAAAGAUGUGCGAGGACAAUGUACUGGGCAACCUGAGCACCAUAGCUUCCAUGCAGCUCCAAGCAUGCAAACCAAGAUGAGCAACAGAGUUGUGGAUCUUGCAACAGGGGCCAUGGGCAGCCUUCUCUACAAGCUUGGCGACCUCCUCAAGGAAGAGUACAAUCUAGAGAUUGGUGCGAAGACAGACAUAGAGUAUUUCUCAGAUGAGCUUUUGGAGAUGCAGUUAGCGCUCUGCAAGGUGUCCGAGGUACAACGAGACAACCUCAAUGACCAGGUCAUACACUGGGCCAACAAUGUUAGGGAUAUGUCAUAUGACAUUGAGGAUGUGGUUGAUGGCUUUUUGGUACACAUCGAGCAUGCCUCUAAUACAGGCUUCUUCAUGGGGCUCAUGCAGAACAUGUUCAAUCUCUUCAAGUGGGGAAAGACUCACAAUCCGAUCCGUGACACGAUCAAAGACAUAAAGAAACAAGUUAAAGAUGCGGCUGAUAGGCGUAGAAAGUGCAAGGUUGAUGAAGUCGUGGCUAAUGUAGCUGUCGUGACUACAAUUGACCCUCGCAUUUCAGCUAUAUACAAAGAUCAGAAAGAGCUCGUUGGAAUUAAAGAGCCAAGAAAUGAGCUAAUCAAGUGGCUCUCUGAUAAGGAGGGGGGUGGAGAUGUGUCUAAGAAGCAACUCAAGAUAGUCUCUAUUGUUGGAUUCGGAGGAUUGGGCAAGACAACACUUGCCAAGGCAGUGUAUGACAAGCUUCAAUCCCAGUUCUAUCCUAUGGUUUUUGUUCCAGUGGGUAGGAAUCCUAAUGUGAAAAAAGUUUUUGAGGCAAUUCUCCAUGAGCUUGGCUAUGGUUUCAAUGCACUAAACUUAAAUGAAAUGCAGCUCAUCAACAAAAUUCGAGAAUUGCUCCAGAACAAGAGGUACUUCAUAGUAAUUGAUGAUAUAUGGGAUUCCUCAGCGUGGGAUAUUAUUAAAUGUGCUUUGACAAAUGACAAUUGUGGCAGUGGAGUGUUGACAACUACCAGGAUUCGCUCUGUUGCUGAUGACUGUUGCAUACAUAGCAGAGGAUAUGUUUAUAUGAUGAAACCACUAAAUAACCAAGACUCAAGAAAACUUUUUGUUAGUAGAAUAUUUGGUACCCAAGAAGCUUGCCCUAAUGUACCAGCAGAGAUUUCAACUGACAUUCUGAAAAAAUGUGGUGGCUUGCCACUUGCUAUCAUCAGCAUAGCAAGCCUUCUGGCUCAUAACCCAAGGUCAAGAUGGGAUUCUAUAAGGAAUUCUUUGGUGUCUGUGUUUGCAGGAAAUCAUGAUGAUCUUAAAGAUAUGGAACAAAUAUUGGAUCUUAGCUACAUGCAUCUCCCUCACCAUCUUAAGACAUGCCUGCUUGAUAUUGGUAAGUACCGAGAGGACCAGGAGAUAGAAAAGGAUUAUUUGCUGAGGCAAUGGAUAGCUCAAGAGUUUGUGAGCACAACUAGUGUGCGUGAUGCCGAGGAUGUCGCAGAAGACUACUUCUAUAAGCUCAUCAACAUGAGCAUGAUCCAACCUUGGAAGAUAGACUACAAUGAUGAGGUGUUGUCCUGCAAAGUACAUGAUAUAAUGCUUGAUCUCAUCAGAUCCAAGGUCGCAGAAGAAAAUUUUAGUCUUAUAAUAGAUGGGCCCGAAGUUGUGAUAAGGGAACACAAAAGGGUCCGCCGAGUCUCCAUUUAUUACAAUGGUGAAGAUGAUGGUGAAAUACUAGAAGCAAUCAGUGGGCCACUAUCGCAUGUUCGGUCGAUCUUACUUUUUAGAGGGCCUCUUGUGCCUUCUUUUCUGGUGCUGAAGUAUGUUCGAGUUCUUCACCUUGAAGAUGAGAGAUGUGAGAGGCUAGACCUCACCGGUAUUUGUGGGUUGUUUCUACUAAGGUAUUUAAAGAUUUUUUGCUGCAGGAUACAUUUGAUACUACCUAGUAAAAUUGGGGAGCUACGGCAAUUGGAGACAGUAGAAGUGGAAGGGCAAUAUAAACCGACAUCUCUUCCAUCAGAUAUUGUUACUUUGCCCCGGUUGUCGCAUCUCAGUUAUUCAAAUGGUCUGGUGUUGCCUGACGGGAUUGGCAAGUUGAAAUCUCUGCGCACCCUACGAGGUGCUGCAUUUUUGGAAAGCUCGGUGGACAAUAUUAAGGGCCUCGGCGAGCUGACAAACUUGAGGGAACUUGAGAUGUUUUCGGAAUUGCGGUUUUAUAAUGAAGAGGAUGAAUUGGAGUGGAAGAUGCAUAUUGAUGCCUUGCGCUCUUCCAUUGGAAAGCUUUCCAACACCCUCAGGAGCCUUUAUAUCGGAGAAAGAUGCCCCAUAGUACCGCUGGUCCAUGGCUGGAGCAGCACACUAACCCCACCUCGUCGUCUUCGGAAGCUUGAUCUGACUGGCUGUGAGUUCCAAGGAAUCCCCGAGUGGAUUGCUCAGCUCCACGAGCUCUACAGUUUAACUAUUUUCGUGAGGGAAGUGGCUGAUUUUGUCAGUAUUGUUGCAGGGUUGCGUUCCCUUGCGCACUUAGAAUUGCGGGGACUCAUGUAUGGACUGUCUAAAAGGGAAAAGUGGGUAAUCAUCAAUGCCAGGGCAUUCGGAGCGCUCAAGCAUCUGGAGUUGUACUGUCCUUAUGUGUCACUGGUCUUUGAAGCGGGAGCUAUGCCCAACCUAGAGAAGCUCGGCAUAUGCUUUCGUUUCUUCAUAUCUGCUGAAUUGUUACCAGUUGGCAUCGAGCACUUGCCAGCAGGCACUCUGCGGGAUAUCCAUUUAACGUUGGCGUCCAACGGUAAUGAGGUAGUGGCCUCCCAGUUCGAACAACAUAAAGCAGCUGUCGGUAUGCUGUUGAAGAGCGCGUUUGAGGCGCAUCAUCCUGCUGCAGAUGUCACCAUUGACUUUGAUAACGUCCUCAAGAGAUUGAUGCAGUCGCUGUAACUCGUGUUUUAAGGAGGUAUUGCCGCCUACUUCAAAUGUGCUUUCCUUUUAAUGAUCUUCUAUUAGCACCUGUUGUGUUGUAUGGCUAAGAUCUUAAUCCUGUAGCAGUUGCUGCGACGCUGUAUUACUGUCAGACAAACCAUUUUCAGUCAAUAGUGACGUUCUUCCUGGUGGUUUCUUCCAUCAACAGCCCUUAUUCCAUAAAUUACUACUUAUUUUUGUAUUGUUUGCG
rnacentral:rRNA from 1 species